UACGUAGGGGGCAAGCGUUGUCCGGAAUCAUUGGGCGUAAAGAGCGUGUAGGUGGCCCGGUCAGUCCGCCGUGAAAGUCCAGGGCUCAACCCUGGAAUGCCGGUGGAUACUGCCGGGCUGGAGUCCGGAAGAGGCGAGUGGAAUUCCGGGUGUAGCGGUGAAAUGCGUAGAUAUCUGGAGGAACACCGGUGGCGAAGGCGGCAUCCUGGACCGGUAUUGACGCUGAGGAGCGAAAGCCAGGGGAGCAAACGGG
rnacentral:rRNA from 1 species